rnacentral:rRNA from 1 species
UACAGAGGGGGCAAGCGUUGUUCGGAAUUACUGGGCGUAAAGGGCGCGUAGGUGGCCUUCUAAGUUGAACGUGAAAUCCCUGGGCUCAACCCAGGAACUGCGUCCAAGACUGGGAGGCUUGAAUCCGGGAGAGGGAUGCGGAAUUCCAGGUGUAGCGGUGAAAUGCGUAGAUAUCUGGAGGAACACCGGUGGCGAAGGCGGCAUCCUGGACCGAUACUGACGCUGAGGAGCGAAAGCGUGGGGAGCAAACAGG